ensembl:lncRNA
UUAAAAAUUUAGACAAGGCUUUAUCUUAUAUUUAUUUAUUUUCCAGCUUGUACAAACUGGAUGUAGAAGCAUAAACAUAGUACAUUUCUACCAUCUUCAACAAAAAUAGAACCAAUAUGUACAAUUAUUGUAUUAAAAAUACAAAAGGGAUACAGACUCCACCAAUGUCUUUCUAAAAGACAUACAGGUACAAGUGGUAUCAAAAGUAUGAGGAAAUCACCAGUUAAUUUUACAUUCUGCACUUGACAUCACAGAGCGAACUGAGAUUAGCAGUCCUAUGUUCUACAAUUACUUAAUGUUUAGAUAACAUCUGUGCAAUUUGUGGUAGAGCUAGAGUUUUGUCUUUCUAUAUGCACAUGAGGUCCAUAGCCUAUAGAGUAAAACUGGCAAUAAUGCAUAUUACAUGUAAAAUUACAAAUGCGGAAGUGACAAUGUGAUACAUAAGUAGACGAACGCCAUGACAUAGAAGAGAAUUAUUAAAUAAAGCACUGACAUUGUUUGACACAGUGAAAAAACACUGCAAUUCGACCUUUAAAAUUUGAAGCUAUUUACGUUUAUCUACUGAUCAAUAUGAUCAGCUGAAUUUAAUGGAAAAAAAUCCAAGAUCAGCAGCCCCUCACAUCUGAGUACUACUCGGAUUGGCAGCCUUCACUUUUCCGGAGUCUGUGCAAAAACAACACAAAAAUAGAAAGGCGGGGUCGUUUUCAGUCAUUCUAGGGCUAAUAGCAGCUAUGAGCAGACUGGUGUACACUUUCGCCUCCUCCACAGGCAGCGUCCACAAAGCCACUCACGGGUCAGUCUUCGUGACUGACCCACUUUGUAAAGGCUGGUGUACUUAACCAUGUUUGUGACCUUUAACCAUGUUUAAAGACACUCUGGUGCCAAUCCAACAAGGGGAGGCUGUCUUGAAAGAGCAGUACAAACAGCUGGCAUUUUUCCCAACACCCCAAGCUGCUUCACUGCAAUGCUAUCCAGUUAUAAAUGUUUCUUUUAAAAAAUAAAAACAAAAAGCUCUAAAACCCUAAAUUAACAAAACUUGAAAAAAAAAACAAAAAACAAAAACAAAAACAAAAAAAAAAAAACCCAUAACUUAAAAACAGGGGUUGCCAUCCAUUGUAAUUGAGCAGGACACACUCUCAAAUAACGCCAUCCUGCCUCAUAAGGCUCAGACAGGCCACACGAGUCCUAGUUCCCGACCUGGCCAUGUGCAAACAGUUUUACAUUAGAGCCUCGCCCACUGGGGAAGGAGCAGGUGAGGAGUCUUGGUAUUUAAGUAAUUGGCUAACGUUUGAUGCUUCUGGGAUAGGGCACUUCACGGGCAAGGCCAGAAGGACAUGGGAAGACAGGGUCACUGCCCAGGUCUUCCCUUGGUGCGGCCAAACCCUGUCCGGCAUAUUUGGUUUUUCAGAAACUCAGGCUGGCAAUCCUACUUAAGGUUCAAAAUAAUACUGUAAUCAUUAAAUGGAUAUAACAUUUACUCUCUGAACACAAUCUUUAAACUUAUUUUUUUAAAGGAUAUUGUAAACAAGUGGACAAGCACUGUACUCUAAGGAUUUCUUAUCUGUCUUUGUCUUCCUUGGUGGGUUCGAGACCCCAAGUAGUUCAAAGGCUAGCUUUUCUCAUCUUCCGAAUGAGAUCGAGGUCUAGGACUGGACUGAAAUCUAAGAGGAAGACUGGAAACUCCUUCCAGGCAUGGAGAAGUGCCGCCAGAGGGAGUCGCCUUGUGACGAUCUUGGAAUUUGGAAUGAUACUGCGUGACGUGGCAGGCAGCAGCUCAGAGACUGCUGGGCUGUGCAUUUCAAGCAACAAGUCUGCAAAGUGCCAGGGCAGUUUCUUCACAGUACUUCACAUGCAAAGGGGAAAGGAAGAAGGGGAGAAGAAGCCCCAUGCUGCUUUAAGGCAGGGAAGGAAGGAGGCAAACUGGUCCACCAUCCUCAGAUGUGCGUGCCAAGGCUCCAAUGCUUGGGACGUCUUCUUGUGCUCUCCUUUGGGUAGCCCACUCAAGGAGCCUGUGCCUCAAACAGCAGACACUUGUUCAUCUUCU